UACGUAGGGGGCAAGCGUUGUCCGGAUUUACUGGGCGUAAAGAGCGUGUAGGCGGCCAAGCAGGUCCGUUGUGAAAACUCGAGGCUUAACCUCGAGAUGUCAUCGGAAACCAUUUGGCUAGAGUCCGGAAGAGGAGAGUGGAAUUCCUGGUGUAGCGGUGGAAUGCGCAGAUAUCAGGAAGAACACCAAUGGCGAAAGCAGCUCUCUGGGACGGUACUGACGCUGAGACGCGAAAGCGUGGGGAGCGAACAGG
rnacentral:rRNA from 1 species